rnacentral:rRNA from 1 species
GUGGGGAAUUUUGGACAAUGGGGGCAACCCUGAUCCAGCGACGCCGCGUGAGUGAUGAAGGCCUUCGGGUCGUAAAGCUCUGUUGCAGGGGAAGAACACAAUGACGGUACCCUGCUAGAAAGGAUCGGCUAACUUCGUGCCAGCAGCCGCGGUAAGACGAGGGAUCCUAGCGUUGUUCGGAAUUAUUGGGCGUAAAGCGGGUGCAGGUGGCUUGGUAAGUCAGAUGUGAAAGCCUGGGGCUUAACCCCAGAAGUGCAUUUGAUACUGCUGAGCUUGAGUGCUGGAGAGGCUAUUAGAAUUCCUGGUGUAGUGGUGAAAUACGUAGAUAUCAGGAGGAAUACCGGAGGCGAAGGCGGAUAGCUGGCCAGACACUGACACUCAGACCCGAAAGCGUGGGGAUCAAACAGGAUUAGAAACCCGGGUAGUC